AUGUUGGAGUAAUAAAAAUGUUCACGGUGUUAAAUACUAUUAUUUAAGCCAGGUUUUAAAUUCCACCACUCAGAAAACAGAGGCAGAUAGAUCUCUGUAAGUUUGAGGCCAGCCUGGUCUACAGAGCAAGUUCCAGACAGCCAGGGCUACACAGAGAAACCCUGUCUCAAAAAAACAUCAGUGAAAGAGAGAAAGUGGGGUGUAUGUAUGUAUGGGUGUACAUGCUAUGGUGCGUGUGUGUAUGUGUGUGUGUGUGUGUGUAUGUGUGUGUGUGUGUGUGUGUGUGUGUGUGUGCGUGUGUGUGUGUGUGUGUGUAUGUGUGCGUGUGCGUGUGCGUGUGCGUGUGCGUGUGCGUGUGCGUGUGUGUGUGUGUGUAAGUUAAGAUACAGGUCUGUGGGGUCAGCUCUCUCCCACCUUUGUACGUGGUCUGGGGAUGAAGCUCAGGUGACCAGGCUCCCAUAACAAGUGUCUUUACUACUGAGCCUCCUCUCUAGCCUUAAAGAGAUGAGUUUUGGUUUGGUUCUGUGGUGUUUGUGAGGACAACACCACCAAAUAGGAGAUGGAACUUCUGACUUUACAUAUUUAAUGUUAAUUCUGAGCAUUCGCUGUAAGGGCUUCUGAAUGACAACAAACCACAUUUGAGGAGACAGAUUUUGUCUUUAUGGGCGUUAAAUAAACAGACAACCUACCUAAGGGUGCUUGAAACAGUCUCACUAUGUAGAUCUGGCUGUCUUGGAACUCAUCCUGAGACCUGCCUGCCUCAGAAUUACCAGGAACAAAACCGUGACAAACUGGACAUAAUUGCCUCCAGAGGGGUUCUGUUGUCUCAUCUGUCCACAGGGCCCUGGGUCAGCCCCUCUCUGGGAAAGCUCCAUUCUGAAUAUGUGUAGACGAAGUCUGUGACCAGAGCCUUGUCCUCAGAAGUUCCUUGGGAAGCCAAGCAAUGGGCUGUGGCUUGUGAGUUGCUCUUCUGUGCCUGUUCUCUCUUGGCAGAGAG
rnacentral:lncRNA from 1 species